UCUCCGUUGGUGAACCAGCGGAGGGAUCAUUACCGAGUUUACAACUCCCAAACCCAAUGUGCACCAUACCAAACUGUUGCCUCGGCGGGGUCACGCCCCGGGUGCGUCGCAGCCCCGGAACCAGGCGCCCGCCGGAGGGACCAACCAAACUCUUUCUGUAGUCCCCUCGCGGACGUUAUUUUUACAGCUCUGAGCAAAAAUUCAAAAUGAAUCAAAACUUUCAACAACGGAUCUCUUGGUUCUG
rnacentral:misc_RNA from 1 species